GCCCGGAUGGUCUAGUGGUAUGAUUCUCGCUUGUGAGUUCACCUUAUCGAUACUACCGCAUCAAUUUUCGAUACUAAUAAAUUAUAACAGUGGGCUACAUAGUACCAAUCUGCGAGAGGCCCCGCGUUCGAACCGCGGUUCGGGCC